GGCGUAUACCUGCGCUACUGUGUCUUUAAGUUUGUGCGCAUGCUCAGAGACGACUGGAGGAACACCUCAUCGCGGUCAGCAUUUGUUAUUUUUUAAAUUUUCGUGUCGAAAGCCUUCCUGAGGGGUGAUCUGCAGCCUGUUUUUAGGCUAAGGAGAAGGAAGUUGGAGGAGAUCUUUCAGGAAGAGCCACAGCAUCAGGUUCAGGAGUCGGCACAGAUGAUUGUGUACUGCAUCCUGUGUUUGAGGAAACCCAUAAGUCAAGAGAAUCCAUCAAUGGCAGAUUUGAAAAAAGCCAGUGUGUGGUGUUCGGAGCAUUCAGGUGUGCUGCUUGGUUCUGUUCAGCUGCCCAAAGUACUCUGCAUGGAGGACCAAGAUGUUUCAGAGGCCAUGGAAACAUCACAAAAGGCUGAAUUUUCAGAGGACAGAAUUGCAGCUCUUGAACCCUUCAGUUUUGUCUUUACUGAAAUCAAAGAUAUGAGUAUUCCUUGAUAAUGUUGUUGAUAUCAUAAACCUGAAAGUGUUCUGUGAAGCUGAAUCUAAAGAAAAUGCAUAACAUGCCAUUGUUUCUUUUGGCAUUUCUUCUUUUGUUUUUACUGAAGUGACUAGUAAAA